CAGAGCACAGGCAUACAUCAACAACACAUACCCACAAUCACCAAGAGCUGCAGUGAACCGGUACAGAACCUCUACAGACUGAAUGCUGAUCAGUAUAAUUAGGAACAGAGAUGAUUAGAAAUAUUUAUGCAAAAUGUGGAAUUUCAGCAGACAACACAUCAGCUGUCGCAAAGUACGAAGACAUCUAUGCAAAUGACCCUCCGAGGACGCGAGUGACAAGGAGCAUUAAGGGAAGUAAGAUAUCAGGUACACACACACACACACUCAGAAUUUAUUUUUAAUGCUUUGAUAUAAUAUUUUAAAAAUGCCACAAAUAGUUAUUUGUGUUUUCUCAAGAUUUGUAGCAUUCCUUUGACAAAUCUAUCAGUAGCUCCAAGUUUUGACCAGGGAAUUAUAUGCUCAGAACCACAAGCUUGUGGUCGCAUUUCUGUUCCCAUAGAUCACAUUUGUGCACUAAGGUUUGUUAAAUGGUUUGCACUAGGUACACCCUUUUGCUGUUUAGUAUUAUUAUAUUUUUGUCCUUUGGCCAAAACUUCUUGUACUGUUUAUAAGUGCAUAGCAUAGAUAAAAAACUGCAUUUGUAAGCCUUUUGGACUAAUACUGUAUGUGUUUGAAUGUGUGUAUGUGUACGUGUGUGUGCGUGCAUGUGUGCGCGUGUGGGAACUUGGUAGACUAGUGAUUAGGGUGUUGGACUACUGAUUGGAAGGUCAUGAGUUGGAAUCCCAAGUCCACCAAGUUGCCACUUCUGGGCCCCUGAGCAUGGCUUUUAACCUCAAUUGCUCAGUUGCAGAAAUUAAAAUAAAAAAAGGUAAGUCACUCUGGAUAAGGGUGUCUUCUAAAAGCUUUAAAUGUGUGUGUAUCACACUUCAACACUUGAGUCACAAUUUUCAAGUGUGAAAAUUUACUUUAGCCUCAAGUCAAGAAGCUUUUUUUUGUCAUUUCAACCAUAGCUGUUACAGUAUAUACAGUGAAAUAUGACAAUGUUUCUCCAGGACCAUGGUGCUACAUAGAACAAAGACAGAGCUAAGGACUUAGUAAACAGUUACACAGGCUGAACAUUCUGCUGAUCGCUAAUAGCCCCAUUGAGUUCACAUAGAACCUCUUUAGCAUUAGCGCUGUGGGGGAUGUAACCUCUGACAAGAAAACCAUGGUGAAUUCUUGUGGUAAAUAAAAUGGCCUGCAUCUAACAGUCACAAACUCCACUAGCAACGAGCAGUAACUAGAUACAAGCACAGAGUUCAUACACAUGAACAAGGUGAGCCCGUCUAGCUGAAUGGCAGCGUCCGGAACUCUGUCGCUGAGCAACAUCUCAAUGAAAACAAAGAUGCAGCAGUUUCUUUCUAAUGAACUCCCACUUCUCCUUUCCAGUGUUUGUGUGACGGAGUGGUAAAUGGAAAAAAAAAACACAAUAUGCACACCUACAUUUAUAAAUUUAUAAAAUUAUAAAAGCACGCCAUUGUGCUAAAGUUGGUGAGGUUAUUUAAUUUGUGGUUAAUGAGAGAUUUAUGAAUUUUUGGGAGGGUGUUAUUGUCCAAGGCAGAAGGUAUUUCCAGAUCUGUAUACACUUCUUUAUCAUUAGAUGUGCCCUCUACUAUGAUGAAAGAUUUGGAUAAGAUAUUGUAUGUGUAGAACCCUGAACAAAUUUUUGGAUUUCUGAAUCUAUAACUGUUUUAUUUUGGGUGUGUGUUUUGGGUCUGAAAUAAUGCACACAUACGCUAACAAAUGUUUUUAUUUAUUUUAUUUUUUUUCUGUCAUGUCUCUAAAAGAAUUUCCAAAUGUGUGUAUGUAAAAUAUUGAAAAAAAAAAACUGCAUUUUAUUGUGUUCUCUGAAAACGUUAUUUCUUUUUCUGUCCUACGAGAGCUGUGUAUUUUGACCUCUCAAGUUCAAGGGGUUAGAGAGAAAAAGGAUACGGGGGAGUGCAGUUUUUGUUUUACAGGGGGAGUGAGAAUAUUACGUGGGAAAAAGUUGAGUUUGACAUGAACAAAAUUGGUCGGUUUGGAGAAAAGCUGACAUUAGUAACUUUUGGAGAUCGAGAGAAUUCUGCGACAGGCCGCGCGCACUCGUGAGUCAGAGCUACGGAAGACAGCUAGCACGAGGAUCUGCACGUCAGUGUUGCAGUUUCUAGCUAUAUUUCGUUUGUAUCUCGCGGAUGCUUCAAACCAGUUCAAGGAGGGAGGAGUUCAUCGCGGUUCCUUUCAUCGUCGUCAUGGAAAAUGUCCCGGAUGCUGUUUAUCAUCUCGUCUGAAGAUUAUACCCGUGUUUAAUUUAAUAAUUCAGUGAUACUAGUGGUUGGGAGUUCUGUGUUGAAUCUCGCGGAUGCUUCAAACCAGUUCAAGGAGGGAGGAGUUCAUCGCGGUUCCUUUCAUCGUCGUCAUGGAAAAUGUCCCGGAUGCUGUUUAUCAUCUCGUCUGAAUGUGAGGAUUGGAGGUUGUCAUUCUGCAAUUGGAAUUUCAUUUUCCUCUGAUUCGUGAGUACAUUGGCCUUGCAUAAAAAGAACUCCAACUAGCGCGCCAUCUGUGUAUUGAAAAUCCCAGCUGGGUAAAAUUUGAGAUUACAGUGACAAAUGUUUUUUUUUCUUCAUUUCUUUUGGGGUUACAGUUAUUGAGAUCUACUGUUGUUGUGAGUAACUUUGUAAAUUUAAUUAUUUGAUCAUUUAAAGGAACACACAAAAGAAAAAAGUACACAAAGACAAAAUAGUUCUGAGAAAAAUAGAUACAUUUGUUGAUCUACUACAAUUUUGUGUGGUUUCCUGUGGGGGAAAAAAGUAGUUCAUUGUAAAUUUGUUUUUUUUUUUACUUUCUUUCAUUUGUCAUUUCCAAUUUAAAGGUAAACACAAAAUCAAGUGAAUAUCUGAGAUCUGGGUGUUGUGAUUAAUAGGAAUAGUAUAAUUUAGAAAUGUGUCUCUCACAAGGUUAUUGUUGAUUUGUAAAUUUCCCUAGACUUAAUUCUCACAUUUGAGCCACAUUUAUUGGUGAGAGGGCUACAUAUGAAUUUAUCUGGAGAAAAAAAAAACAUUAUUUAAAGAAAGAGGUCAUAUGCAAUACUAAACAACAAGGGGAGCUAGAGGUUCUGGAUUAUAGUACACUCAAUAAUAUUUUCAAGAUUAGAUGGUUAAUAGAAUUUAUGAAAAAUAAAGAUAGUGUUUGGAAUGUAUUUCCUAAUUAUAUAUUUAACUCAAUUGGGGGCAUAACAUUUUUGUUGAAAUGCAAUUUUUCUAUUCAUAAAAUUUCGGUUAAACUGGCUGGUUUCCAUUGAUAGGCCCUGUUAGCAUGGAAUUUGAUCUAUAAUCACAAUUUUUCACCACACAGUUAUUGCAUUUGGAAUAACAAAGACAUACUAUUUAAAAACAAAACACUAUCAAAACUGGAUUAAUGAAGGGAUUAUUUUGGUAAAACAGCUGUUGAAUUCUAAUGGGUAUUUGUUGUCUUACACAGAGUUUCUUGAAAAAUUCCAAUUACCAGUUAAAUCAAGAGAUUUUGCUAUUGUUUUUGAUGCAAUUCCAAAGACUGUUGUAUUUCUUUUAAAGAAUUUGAGUUCUUUGCAAAUUAAUAUAGAUGACUUUUGUGGUAGUUUAUACAUUGGAAAUGUUAAUAUCUUGAAACAAAAGUGUAGCAAUAAUAUUAUAAGAAAUGCCCUCUGUUUUGUUUCUUUCCCUGCAGCAAGGUUUUUUGGUCUUUCUUAUUUGGUCAUAUAUACUGGGACAAAACAUGGAAAAUACUGAACAAGUUUUGUGUCAACAAUAAAAUUAAGGAGGUGUCUUACAAAAUUGUACAUAGAAUUUAUCCUGCAAAACAUGUUUUGAAAAGAUUUAAGCUUAAUAUCUCUUAUGCUUGUGAAUUUUGUGGUCAGGGAAAGGAAAUAAUUUUGCAUCUGUUUUAUCAUUGUAUCUACUCAAUAUUUUUUGGAAGGAUAUGGAAAAUUAUAUUAGUAGAAAAUUGGGUUGUGUGGUAGAAAUUGGUGUAUGUGAAGUGUUUUUUUUUUAUUUUGAGGGAGAUAAUUUGGAAAAUACAAAUAUGUACAAUAUAUUAUACAACUAUUCAUUGUAUUAGGAAAGUACCAUAUACACAAAACAAAGUGGGCCCUUUGUAAACCAAAUCUGUCCCAUUUUAUAAAUGAUUUCGAGUUACACAGUAAUCUUUUGGAGAAAGUAAAAAACAAAAAAGCUCAGAAAACAUGUGAUAUUUUAAAAGAAUUCAAGUUUUUGUAACUUUUUUCCUUUCUUUUCUGGUAGCCAAUGUGACUGAUACCUCUUGUUGUAUUAUUACAUUGAACACAAUGUGUAUUUUGUGUUUGUCUUUUUGCAUUAAUAAAAAAAAAGAGAAAUAAGCA